ensembl:lncRNA
GCGUGUCUUUUGUUGCCAAUGUUUACUUAUUUGGUUAUGACCUCGGCUCUGCUGUCUGGGACUGGACAGAUCUCCCUUUCUCAUGUCUCCUCUCUCACAUGACGGCUGCUUCGCAUUUCAGAUGGCUGGUGGUAAAAGACUCUUUUGUUCUCUACAUGAGGCCAGAGGACGGGCAAGUGGGGACAGUGAUUCUCGAUGUCAGGGGAUUCCACAUCAAAAUAGGCGCCCAAGAGACUGGAGUCAGGCACGGGGUCACGGCCGAGGACCUAUGCGGGCACGUUCGCGCUUCAGCACGUUUCCAGCGCCUCUCACACCGUUGUUCGUCCCACCUGUUUCAGGGUGCUGACCACCAAGUGCUCCAUGUAUCGGCAGGUUUGAUAGCGGGGCGACACUGUCGACGCUCACAGACACGGGCAGGAUUCCUUGCGAGAGAGCCCCCAUCACAGAAAACACGGCGGCACAAUGGCUGAGUCCAGAAAUUUUCCUAAAAAGGCCAGUGGUGGAUGGGACCAUGUGGAGAUUGGACUGCAUCCUAAAACGGAAAGCUGUGAGUGGACCCCAAAAUUCAUACACCCUGCUGCAUAUGGCUGAUGCUCCCUGCCUGGAAGAAAAUGAAGCGGCUUUGCCCAAGUGGGGAUUUAUUACUCUACCACGUUCGUCUUCAUGGAACUGUGGAAUGUAAAUAUACAAAAAACUGAUAUAAGAGAAUUAAAAGGACAUACUAAGCCCCUCAUAACCAGAACCAACCAGAAAAGCUUCAGAACUCAGCCAGUGCACACAGUGAAAUGUGUCCUCUGCUUUUAACCAUCACCCUUGGUGAGCAGUGGACAGCCAGGCGCCCGGGGAGCAGUGUGUGGGGACGGUGCUUUGCUCAGUGGCACCUCAGUGGCACUUUGGUGGAUCGGGAUUUGAACCGGCAACCUUCUGAUUAUGGGGCCACUUCCUUAAGAGCUAGGCCACCACUGCCCUCGAGCGGUGGACAGCCAUGAGAGGAGCAGUGUGCAUAUACGGAUCCGAUUACGGGUCUGUAACCUUACUUGCUGGUUGAUCUCUUUUAAGAACAUGGAGUGAACAUGUGCGCCUUGCUGUAUGAAGAGGUGGAGAUGGUCCAUGGCCUGAACAGUAAAUACACUAUGAGUAUCCUGACGGGGGUCACCCCAACAUCAGGGUGAGGCAUAUGUCAAACAUUCCCAAACACAGAGCUCACUUUCCUACUGACAGCAUGACGGCGAGGCCCUGUCCCCUCAUAUCAAUUCUGCCUCACUGUGGGCUUGUGACUUGCAGCCCCAUCAAAACACACCACUGCGCUGGAGUAUUUAGAUCAUGUUUUGGGGUUCUCUGACAACCCUCCUGAUGUGUUGAAGGGGGACAGGGUUUGGACCCCCACAGAUCAUGUCUGUCGAUGGUCAGGUUGUUCUCUGUCAGGAGAAGACCCAGAGGCAACAAAUGUGCACAGCUCUCGUGGAGCAUCUCCAUGAGCUCAGUGCCACAGCAACCAUCACCAAGGCACCAUGGGCCUCAAGCUGACUGACAGGCCGUCACAUUAUCUUAACUGAGUGCCGUCUGAGAUGGAGCAGCACCGUGAUCCUGGGAAGUGGCUGGGGACCCUCACCCUGAGGAGCUGGGCACAGCAGCAGCUGGGUGGAGGUAUUCCUGGGCCCUGCUGGAGAACCAGCAGCCGCCACAGGCGCCGCGCUCUGGAAGGCUCCUGGACGCUUGCAGAGGCGCAGCUGUUUCUCACUUUCAGCGCAGCCUGCUAUUUAAGGCAUUUUGGGGUGUGUCCCUCUUUAAAAAAAAUCCAUUCCGUGACAGCCCAGCAACUUCACAAGAACUUCAACUUCACUAGUUUCCCCUAAUUGUGGAAAAAAAGUGCACACAUAAUUUAAAACUAAGAUGCAGUCACUUCAAAUGACUGGCUCAUAAUUAGAUGUCAUUCAGAUGAGCAGCAAACACUGGCCCCAGAAAUGAAGCCUCCAGGAUGUUAGUUUCUGGAGAGCAAAGGAGGAGACUUUGUGCCUUCAUCCCAAUGGACAGGUCAUCCGGCACCCUGUUCACCUCCACAGCCCUGCUCUGGGCCCACCAUGAGAAGAUGGUGGUGGUGGACCAGUUGCUGGCCUUCUUGACAGGGAUUGACCUGGCCUACGGGCGCUGGGACGACACUCAUCACAGGCUGACGGAUGUGGGGAGCUUGAGGAGGAGCCCCCAGCCCAGCCUGGCACUGUUACUUUCCUUUACCACCCUAAGGCUCGCACUGACGGCACAGUACAUUAAACGGCACAGUACAUCAAAGUACACAAUUCACCGACGUUUACUUAAUCUUCAUAUUUUUAUAUGAAAUAAUGCGCAUCGCAUAAACGUACUAAAAUUGACAUUAGACUUUGAGAAAUAUCCUUCAAUCUCUAAUACAGCGGGUAUGACCAUAUAAGUGAGAGUUACUGCUCAAUAAAAUCAAGGAUAUUUAUAUGUAUGGUCGGAUU